rnacentral:rRNA from 1 species
GGGACACGUGGUAUCCUGUCUGAAUAUGGGGGGACCAUCCUCCAAGGCUAAAUACUCCUGACUGACCGAUAGUGAACCAGUACCGUGAGGGAAAGGCGAAAAGAACCCCGGCGAGGGGAGUGAAAAAGAACCUGAAACCGUGUACGUACAAGCAGUGGGAGCACGCUUAGGCGUGUGACUGCGUACCUUUUGUAUAAUGGGUCAGCGACUUAUAUUCUGUAGCAAGGUUAACCGAAUAGGGGAGCCGAAGGGAAACCGAGUCUUAACUGGGCGUUAAGUUGCAGGGUAUAGACCCGAAACCCGGUGAUCUAGCCAUGGGCAGGUUGAAGGUUGGGUAACACUAACUGGAGGACCGAACCGACUAAUGUUGAAAAAUUAGCGGAUGACUUGUGGCUGGGGGUGAAAGGCCAAUCAAACCGGGAGAUAGCUGGUUCUCCCCGAAAGCUAUUUAGGUAGCGCCUCGUGAAUUCAUCUCCGGGGGUAGAGCACUGUUUCGGCAAGGGGGUCAUCCCGACUUACCAACCCGAUGCAAACUGCGAAUACCGGAGAAUGUUAUCACGGGAGACACACGGCGGGUGCUAACGUCCGUCGUGAAGAGGGAAACAACCCAGACCGCCAGCUAAGGUCCCAAAGUCAUGGUUAAGUGGGAAACGAUGUGGGAAGGCCCAGACAGCCAGGAUGUUGGCUUAGAAGCAGCCAUCAUUUAAAGAAAGCGUAAUAGCUCACUGGUCGAGUCGGCCUGCGCGGAAGAUGUAACGGGGCUAAACCAUGCACCGAAGCUGCGGCAGCGACGCUGAUGCGUUGUUGGGUAGGGGAGCGUUCUGUAAGCCUGCGAAGGUGUGCUGUGAGGCAUGCUGGAGGUAUCAGAAGUGCGAAUGCUGACAUAAGUAACGAUAAAGCGGGUGAAAAGCCCGCUCGCCGGAAGACCAAGGGUUCCUGUCCAACGUUAAUCGGGGCAGGGUGAGUCGACCCCUAAGGCGAGGCCGAAAGGCGUAGUCGAUGGGAAACAGGUUAAUAUUCCUGUACUUGGUGUUACUGCGAAGGGGGGACGGAGAAGGCUAUGUUGGCCGGGCGACGGUUGUCCCGGUUUAAGCGUGUAGGCUGGUUUUCCAGGCAAAUCCGGAAAAUCAAGGCUGAGGCGUGAUGACGAGGCACUACGGUGCUGAAGCAACAAAUGCCCUGCUUCCAGGAAAAGCCUCUAAGCAUCAGGUAACAUCAAAUCGUACCCCAAACCGACACAGGUGGUCAGGUAGAGAAUACCAAGGCGCUUGAGAGAACUCGGGUGAAGGAACUAGGCAAAAUGGUGCCGUAACUUCGGGAGAAGGCACGCUGAUAUGUAGGUGAAGCGACUUGCUCGUGGAGCUGAAAUCAGUCGAAGAUACCAGCUGGCUGCAACUGUUUAUUAAAAACACAGCACUGUGCAAACACGAAAGUGGACGUAUACGGUGUGACGCCUGCCCGGUGCCGGAAGGUUAAUUGAUGGGGUCAGCGCAAGCGAAGCUCUUGAUCGAAGCCCCGGUAAACGGCGGCCGUAACUAUAACGGUCCUAAGGUAGCGAAAUUCCUUGUCGGGUAAGUUCCGACCUGCACGAAUGGCGUAAUGAUGGCCAGGCUGUCUCCACCCGAGACUCAGUGAAAUUGAACUCGCUGUGAAGAUGCAGUGUACCCGCGGCAAGACGGAAAGACCCCGUGAACCUUUACUAUAGCUUGACACUGAACAUUGAGCCUUGAUGUGUAGGAUAGGUGGGAGGCUUUGAAGUGUGGACGCCAGUCUGCAUGGAGCCGACCUUGAAAUACCACCCUUUAAUGUUUGAUGUUCUAACGUUGACCCGUAAUCCGGGUUGCGGACAGUGUCUGGUGGGUAGUUUGACUGGGGCGGUCUCCUCCUAAAGAGUAACGGAGGAGCACGAAGGUUGGCUAAUCCUGGUCGGACAUCAGGAGGUUAGUGCAAUGGCAUAAGCCAGCUUGACUGCGAGCGUGACGGCGCGAGCAGGUGCGAAAGCAGGUCAUAGUGAUCCGGUGGUUCUGAAUGGAAGGGCCAUCGCUCAACGGAUAAAAGGUACUCCGGGGAUAACAGGCUGAUACCGCCCAAGAGUUCAUAUCGACGGCGGUGUUUGGCACCUCGAUGUCGGCUCAUCACAUCCUGGGGCUGAAGUAGGUCCCAAGGGUAUGGCUGUUCGCCAUUUAAAGUGGUACGCGAGCUGGGUUUAGAACGUCGUGAGACAGUUCGGUCCCUAUCUGCCGUGGGCGCUGGAGAACUGAGGGGGGCUGCUCCUAGUACGAGAGGACCGGAGUGGACGCAUCACUGGUGUUCGGGUUGUCAUGCCAAUGGCACUGCCCGGUAGCUAAAUGCGGAAGAGAUAAGUGCUGAAAGCAUCUAAGCACGAAACUUGCC